rnacentral:rRNA from 1 species
AACGUAGGAGACAAACGUUAUCCGGAGUUACUGGGCGUAAAGGGCGUGUAGGCGGUUUGUUAAGUCUGGCGUGAAAGCUCUCGGCUAAACCGGGAGAGGUCGUUGGAUACUGGCAAACUAGAGGACGGUAGAGGCGUGUGGAAUUCCAGGUGUAGCGGUGAAAUGCGUAGAUAUCUGGAGGAACACCGGUGGCGAAGGCGGCAUCCUGGACCAACACUGACGCUGAGGAGCGAAAGCCAGGGGA